CUCUGGUAAUUGUCUUUCUUAAUGUUUUUUAAAUCAUUUAUUUUUAAAUGGCUCACAAACAGUGUUUGAGUUGAUUUUGUAGUAACCGGAACCGACCCGACUCGCAGGGUAAUUAACAUUGCGGGGGAAGUUUUUGUGUGUGAUAUAGGGUUAGAUUCAUAAUUCUGUUAGUUCAUAAUUCUGUUAAUUCUUGUUAAAGAAUAAAAUGUUUAUAAACACACAUACAUGAAUGUGAUAUAAAUGUAUAUAAUCAUAUAACACACACAACUCUGCUCUAAGAUCUUUGGCGAGAAGGAGGGAGGGAGCGGGGCCGAGCGCUGAGGGAACUGAUAGAGGGGGAGGGAGCGGGGUCGCGCCUGCGCCGUCGCCCCGCCCUCCCUAGCAACCAAAGAUCCUAUAGCAACAGGGCCGCAUCUACUUCCGCAUCCGGUUCCGGCUGCUGUUGCUUGGAGACGGAGCAAAGAUCAUAGAGCGGAGCAAGAUGCUCCACUCCGACGUAAACCAACCAAAGAUCAUAUAGCACAGAGAGAUAUAGGUCAUUUGGAAGAGUGGGUUGAAACAUGACAGAUGGGUUUAAUGUUGAUAAGUGUGAGAUGAUACAUCUUGGCAGGACAAAUCAAAAUUGGACGUACAUGAAUUAAAAACCAAGGGGUGCUGGCACAGAGUCCCAAUCUCGACUUUCCAAUCCAUUCUGUGAAAGCGGGGGACUGGGAUCUUGUAAAAUCGUGGAAGGAAGAAAAGUUGCAACCCCGUUGACCACGGAAACAGCUGUGCAGCCAAAAGAAAAAGGGUGGACACACGCAGUGCGAAUAAAGGGACCGGUGGAACCUCCGGCUGAGGAGGAGUGGACAGUAAGACAAGGAAAGAAACCACUGACUCUGAUCUUUGAGAAAGAGCGAUUGAAAUAAGAAAUAAAAUGCAGUGCUUGGCACUUGUGCUAAUGAUGGUAAUCACUGUAAGUAAAUGUGGACUGGAUCAACUACCUAUACUACAAUCAACAACGCUUUAUAAAUUACACUUGAGAUGCAGUUGAAGGAUUAGCGGAACAACUGACAGCUACCAUGGCCUGGCAAAAUCGCAUGGACUUGGACAUGCUAAUGACUGAGAAGGGAGGGGUGUGUGUAAUGUUUGGGGAACAAUGUUGCACCUUCAUCCCCAACAACACUGCUCCGGAUGGGUCAGUGUCAAGAGCCCUAGCAGGUCUCACCUCCCUGUCUAUCGAACUGGCCUUCAGAACACAGUAUGACCAGCGAGAGGAGGAGGAUAAGGAGGCGAAGAGUCUGCUGCUAGCACUAGAGAAGGAAGAAAUAGUAUAAAUCAAAAAUUGCGUAGCAAAAGAAAAUGGGUGGAUUGUGAGGAAAGGGUUAAUAGGGAUAAUAGAUUUAGACUAGGACUAAAAAAAUAUAGCUGAGGAAGAAAUAGUGAGCUGUCAGCACUAAAACCAGACUGCGCUAGGAUAGAUAGUAACAAUAAAAGAACAGGCAGAGACUUUCAAGGUUGAGAAAUUAACAGAUAAAAACUUCAGCAGAAGCCUUUAAGGGAACUAGAGGAAAGGGGAAAAUGCUCUGUAUCACGCAUGCGUAAUGAGAAACAUGAAUAUGAAGACAACACCCACUAUGACAAGAUGCCUCAUUUAAAUGCACAUGCGAUGGAUGAUGUGAGAGGUAACUUUGAUGUCGAGAGGUGUUCCAAGACGUUCUUGUGGGAAUGUAAACCUUAGUGCUCUGAUUGGAAGGAGCCCGAAGGGGAGGAAAAGGGUGUGACAAUUGUAAACUGAAAUGAAUAAAAGUGAAGAGCAUCUCCAUCCUCGUCGUGUCUCUAGGGGGCGAUAGAGAGAGACACCCAAUUCUGCAGAAUUGAAACUUGGAAAAUAAAGAACUUCGUUGUCUGA